CCUACGGGAGGCAGCAGUGGGGAAUAUUGGACAAUGGGCGCAAGCCUGAUCCAGCAAUGCCGCGUGAGUGAUGAAGGCCUUAGGGUCGUAAAGCUCUUUUACCAGGGAUGAUAAUGACAGUACCUGGAGAAUAAGCUCCGGCUAACUCCGUGCCAGCAGCCGCGGUAAUACGGAGGGAGCUAGCGUUGUUCGGAAUUACUGGGCGUAAAGCGUACGUAGGCGGUUAUUCAAGUCAGAGGUGAAAGCCCGGGGCUCAACCCCGGAACGGCCUUUGAAACUAGGUAGCUAGAAUCUUGGAGAGGUCAGUGGAAUUCCGAGUGUAGAGGUGAAAUUCGUAGAUAUUCGGAAGAACACCAGUGGCGAAGGCGACUGACUGGACAAGUAUUGACGCUGAGGUACGAAAGCGUGGGGAGCAAACAGGAUUAGAUACCCUGGUAGUCCACGCCGUAAACGAUGAUAACUAGCUGUUCGGGCACUUGGUGCUUGAGUGGCGCAGCUACGCAUAAGUUAUCCGUCCGUCGGGUAGGUACGGUCGCGAGAAGUAAACGUACGAAAGAAAGUAGUAACGGUCGUGAGACGUGCCGACGGACGACGACGAGGGAGGAGG
rnacentral:rRNA from 1 species